GUGGCUGUUCAUCACCAGCGUGGAAGGUGCCCACUGGCCCGGAUACAGCCCAGCACUAUGUGGUGUUGCUUUUUAGGAUUUCCACGAAGGCCAGGCACAGUGCCUCAUGCCUGUAAUUGCAGCACUUUGGGAAGCCAAGGCGGGCAGAUCACUUGAGCCCAGGCAUUUGAGACCAGCCUGGGCAACAUAGGGAGACCCCAUCUCUACAAAAAAUACAAAAAUUAGCCGGGUGCGCACUUUUAGUCCCAGCUACUUGGGAGGCUAAGGUGGGAGGAUUGCUUGAGUCCAGGGGGUGGAGGUUGCAGUGAGCCAAGAUCGUGCCACUGCACUCCAGCCUGGGUGACAGAGCAAGACCCUGUCUUUAAAAAACAAACCAAAAAAAAAAAGAUUUCCAUGAAUCCAGUGGACUUGAAUGGGCAUCUCUGGGGCCACCCAAGCCCUGGGGCCACCGCGCUGCUUUGUAAAUCAGGGACAGGUGUAGUGUCCAUUGAGCCUUGGGUGCUGCUGUCACAGAAGCACACUGGAGUCUGUGUGGGAGGCAGCGGGGGCUCCUUGACCCUUGGGGGCACCUGGACACAGGGAGCUCGUUGCCUCAACUAUGCCUCCCCUUCUCCCCAGCCUGGCUUUCUCCGGACCCCCUGUUUCUGGAACAGAGGAGGGUCAGAGAAGCAAAGACCGACGAGGCCAGCCCUGCCAACACUGAGCAGAAGCUGAAGUCCUUUCCAGAGGACCCUCAGCACCUGGGGGAGUGGGGCCACCUGGACCCUGCCGAGGAGAACCUGAAGAGCUACCGGAAGCUGCUCCUGUGGGGGUAUCAGCUUUCCCAGCCUGACGCUGCCUCCAGGCUGGACACUGAGGAACUCCGCUUGGUGGAAAGAGAUCCACAAGGAAGCGGCCUCCCAGAAGGCGGGAGGCAGCAGGAGAGCGCUGGGUGCGCCUGCGAGGAGGCCGCCCCCGCGGGGGUGCUGCCUGAGCUGCCUACGGAGGCGCCCCCUGGGGACGCCCUUGCCGAUCCCCCGUCGGGCACCACUGAGGAGGAGGAAGAGCAGCCUGGGAAGGUCCCGGACCCGCAGGACCCCCAAGACGCGGAGUCCGACUCUGCCACCGGAUCGCAGAGGCAGUCCGUCAUCCAGCAGCCUGCCCCGGACAGGAGCCCGGCGAGGCUGGGAACCAAGAGGCCGCACCCCGAGGAUGGGGACGGGCAGAGCCUCGAGGGCGUCUCCAGCGCCGGCGACAGCGCAGGGCUGGAGGCCGGGCAGGGCCCCGGGGCUGACGAGCCGGGCUUGUCCCGCGGGAAGCCCUAUGCCUGCGGCGAGUGCGGGGAGGCCUUCGCGUGGCUCUCGCAUCUCAUGGAGCACCACAGCAGCCAUGGCGGCCGGAAGCGCUACGCCUGUCAGGGCUGCUGGAAGACCUUCCACUUCAGCCUGGCCCUAGCCGAGCACCAGAAGACCCACGAGAAGGAGAAAGGCUACGCGCUGGGGGGUGCCCGGGGCCCCCAGCCGUCCACCCGCGAAGCCCAGGCGGGGGCUAGGGCGGGCGGGCCCCCAGAGAGCGUGGAGGGCGAGGCUCUCCCCGCACCCCCAGAGGCGCAGAGGUGAGCGGCUGUGCUGUCCCGUCCCGGAGGGGCCUUCCUGCAGGCCAUGAAUCCCAGACGAGGCAUUGGGCCUUUCCACGCCCCUGGGUGGCGGCUUCCUGUGGUGUUUGUGGACGUCCUCUGCCUGUGCCCUGAAUCCGCUCCUGAGGCUAAGCGCUCCCAACGAGAAGGGUCCACGGGAAGCCCUCACCUCUGUAAACACACCCUGGGCCAGCGGUCGCAUCCGAGGGGAGCCGCUGAAUGUGGAAGAAGACUCUGCUUUCUUGCAGCCAUUUAGUGCCGCCCCAUGCUAGGUUAUUUGACAUUGUGCAGUGUAGAGUUGCCUUAAAGUGCGUGAUCUGCCAGUGCUUUCUUCAAGUCACCCUUGCCCCGAUUCCUCCUGUUUGCGCUCCCCAGGGUUGCUCAAGUGGAAAUUUUGUCAGCUGUUUAGCCUUUUCGUACUUGCGUGAUGUCAACUUCACUUCUAAUCUGCAAAAGCAGAAGCUGUUUCCUAGUUUACCUCACGUGUCUUUACCUGUAUGGAGUAGCUCGCAGAGAUCACAGAAAUGCUUGCAGCCUAAAGCAGGGUUUUCAGACCGUGGGUCCCAGCCCAUUAGUAAAAUGGGAAAUCAAUUAGCAAGUGGCCAGCAGCAUUACACAGCAAUGAAGCAGAAUAAAGUAGGCCAGAAUGCAUCAUGUAGUAAAGGCAAAUACUGUUUUGUGAAACUUUUCACCCAUACAUCUAAAUGUGAGAACUGGUUGCAAUGUAAGACGUAUUUCUUGCUGGGAAGUUGUGAUCAAAAUAAGUUGAAAACACUAAUAAAGAUCUGUCUGUCUGAGCAAAGGAGACU
rnacentral:sRNA from 1 species